rnacentral:tRNA from 6 species
GGCCUCGUAGCUCAGUAGGAUAGAGCAGUGGUUUCCUAAACCAAAGAUCACGCGUUCGACUCGCGUCGGGGCCA